rnacentral:rRNA from 1 species
GACGAACGCUGGCGGCGUGCCUAACACAUGCAAGUCGAGCGGAGAUAAUUAAAAGCUUGCUUUUGAUUAUCUUAGCGGCGGACGGGUGAGUAACGCGUGGGCAACCUGCCUUUCACAGGGGGAUAACACAGGGAAACUUGUGCUAAUACCGCAUAACACAACGAGAAAGCAUUUUCUGUUGUCAAAGGAGUAAUCCGGUGAUAGAUGGGCCCGCGUCCAAUUAGCUAGUUGGUGGUGUAACGGACCACCAAGGCGACGAUUGGUAGCCGAACUGAGAGGUUGAUCGGCCACAUUGGGACUGAGACACGGCCCAGACUCCUACGGGAGGCUG